UACAGAGGUCUCAAGCGUUGUUCGGAUUCAUUGGGCGUAAAGGGUGCGUAGGCGGCGCGGUAAGUCGGGUGUGAAAUCUUGGAGCUUAACUCCGAAACUGCAUUCGAUACUGCCGUGCUUGAGGACUGGAGAGGAGACUGGAAUUUACGGUGUAGCGGUGAAAUGCGUAGAUAUCGUAAGGAAGACCAGUGGCGAAGGCGGGUCUCGUGGACAGUUCCUGACGCUGAAGCA
rnacentral:rRNA from 1 species